rnacentral:tRNA from 1 species
ACCUGGCUGGCUCAAUCAGUAGAGCAUGUGACUUUUGGUCUCAAGGUUGUGAGUUCGAGCCCCCACAUUGGGUG